UACGUAGGGUGCAAGCGUUAAUCGGAAUUACUGGGCGUAAAGCGUGCGCAGGCGGUUCGGUAAGAAAGAUGUGAAAUCCCAGGGCUUAACCUUGGAACUGCAUUUUUAACUGCCGGGCUAGAGUAUGUCAGAGGGGGGUAGAAUUCCACGUGUAGCAGUGAAAUGCGUAGAGAUGUGGAGGAAUACCGAUGGCGAAGGCAGCCCCCUGGGAUAAUACUGACGCUCAUGCACGAAAGCGUGGGGAGCAAACAGG
rnacentral:rRNA from 1 species